rnacentral:tRNA from 1 species
CAUUAAAAAGCUGAAAGUCAGCACUGGUCUCUUAAACCAUAUUUUAAUAGAUUAACGCCUAUUUUUAAUGA